UACAGAGGUCUCAAGCGUUGUUCGGAAUCACUGGGCGUAAAGGGUGCGUAGGCCGCACGGUAAGUCAGGUGUGAAAGCCCGGAGCUCAACUCCGGAAUUGCACCCGAUACUGCCGUGCUUGAGGACUGGAGAGGAGAUUGGAAUUCACAGUGGAGCAGUGAAAUGCGUAGAUAUUGUGAGGAACACUAGUGGCGAAGGCGAAUCUCUGGACAGUUCCUGACGCUGAGGCACGAAGGCCAGGGGAGCAAACGGG
rnacentral:rRNA from 1 species